AAAGGACAGGAAGGAGACCUCUUGCUCAUUACUUUCAGGAGGUAGCACUGUUACAGAGAGCUGUAUAGUAGGGGAAGAUAAAAUAACUAAAAAUAGUUCAAAAGAUGGAAGAAGAGCCUACAGAAAGCAACAUUGAAGAAAAGAGUGAGGCAGAAGAGCCUACAAAAAGAAACAUCGAAGAAAAGUGUGAGGCAGAAGAGCCUACACAGAGCAACGCAGAGGAAAAGAAUGAGGCAGAAGCGGGGCCUGCUGGGCGCGAGAACAAGCGUGAUGAAAAGAGGGAGAAGAUAAUUAAGAAAGUGAAAGAAGUGCUGGCUCAGAGCCCGAACAAGGCCAAGAACCCAACGGUGAUCGUUAUUUGCUAUAGGGGCAAGAAGAAGAGAAACCCUAGUCAGGCAGAAAAAAAGGAUGAGACUGGGGACCAUUCUACCAGUCCAAAUAACACUCAGUGAAUGGCGGCCAGAGACCUCAGUAGCUCUGCACCCUCUCCAGAAGGCUGCAGAGCCCUGUACGGAAGAGGUCAUGUCUGGGCAAUAAAGGGGAAGCUGUAAGAAUGUU
rnacentral:lncRNA from 1 species